UACGUAGGGUGCGAGCGUUAAUCGGAAUUACUGGGCGUAAAGCGUGCGCAGGCGGUUUUGUAAGCCAGGUGUGAAAUCCCCGGGCUCAACCUGGGAAUGGCAUUUGGGACUGCAAGGCUGGAGUGCGGCAGAGGAGACUGGAAUUCCUGGUGUAGCAGUGAAAUGCGUAGAUAUUCGGAAGAACACCAGUGGCGAAGGCGACUUACUGGACACAUAUUGACGCUGAGGUGCGAAAGCGUGGGGAGCAACAGGG
rnacentral:rRNA from 1 species